rnacentral:rRNA from 1 species
GUAGAACGCUGAAGCUUGGUGCUUGCACCGAGCGGAUGAGUUGCGAACGGGUGAGUAACGCGUAGGUAACCUGCCUCUUAGCGGGGGAUAACUAUUGGAAACGAUAGCUAAUACCGCAUAAAAGUCGACAUUGCAUGAUGUUGACUUGAAGGGUGCAAUUGCAUCACUAAGAGAUGGACCUGCGUUGUAUUAGCUAGUUGGUGAGGUAACGGCUCACCAAGGCGACGAUACAUAGCCGACCUGAGAGGGUGAUCGGCCACACUGGGACUGAGACACGGCCCAGACUCCCUACGGGAGGCAGCAGUAGGGAAUCUUCGGCAAUGGGGGCAACCCUGACCGAGCAACGCCGCGUGAGUGAAGAAGGUUUUCGGAUCGUAAAGCUCUGUUGUAAGAGAAGAACGAGUGUGAGAGUGGAAAGUUCACACUGUGACGGUAACUUACCAGAAAGGGACGGCUAACUACGUGCCAGCAGCCGCGGUAAUACGUAGGUCCCGAGCGUUAUCCGGAUUUAUUGGGCGUAAAGCGAGCGCAGGCGGUUAGAUAAGUCUGAAGUUAAAGGCUGUGGCUUAACCAUAGUACGCUUUGGAAACUGUUUAACUUGAGUGCAGAAGGGGAGAGUGGAAUUCCAUGUGUAGCGGUGAAAUGCGUAGAUAUAUGGAGGAACACCGGUGGCGAAAGCGGCUCUCUGGUCUGUAACUGACG